AGUGUGCUAGCUUGCUAGAAUUUAGAGUACAGGUGCUGCACGGCUGUCGUCAGCUCGUGUCGUGAGAUGUUGGGUUAAGUCCCGCAACGAGCGCAACCCUCGUGUUUAGUUGCUAACAGUUCGGCUGAGAACUCUAAACAGACUGCCUACGCAAGUAGGAGGAAGGUGAGGACGACGUCAAGUCAUCAUGGCCCUUACGGCCAGGGCUACACACGUGCUACAAUGGGGUAUACAAAGAGCAGCGAUACGGUGACGUGGAGCAAAUCUAGAAAAUGCCUCUCAGUUCGGAUUGUAGUCUGCAACUCGACUACAUGAAGUUGGAAUCGCUAGUAAUCGUAGAUCAGCAAUGCUACGGUGAAUACGUUCCCGGGUCUU
rnacentral:rRNA from 1 species